rnacentral:misc_RNA from 1 species
AACGCACGAGACCUGCGGACCUGCGGAGGGAUCAUUACUGAGUUUCACAACUCUCUAACCCUGUGUGAACUGAAGUCUGGUUGCUCAGGCAGGCGGCCCCCGGGGGGAGCCGCAGCUUCUCUGAAGCGCCUGCCGGAGGAUACCUAAACUCGUUUUAACAUAUAAUCUUCUGAGUAAUAAAAAAAAUGAAUCAAAACUUUCAGCAACGGAUCUCU